UAAGCUGUGGCCUUAUUGUUAGAGAAUUAGACUUAAAAUCCAAUGGUUGCAAGUUCGAAUCUUCCUGCCUUAU
rnacentral:tRNA from 1 species